rnacentral:sRNA from 1 species
UUUUUCUUCUCGUCAAGGCCACUAAGAAUGCUGUCAACAGUCGGGCUGUACUGCUUGUUGUUGUGCUGUUUGGUUUUAGUUUGUUCUGUAGAAGGUUCUAGUCUGAAACGCGAGGAUGGCUACAGUAUGAUGAAUGGUCGAGAGUGUAUACAGGCAUGUCAGUCCAGAUGUGCUGGUAUUUGUUAUCUCAAUGUGAUGGCUUACAAGUACAUAUGUAGCUGUCCUAGUACAAGGCUAGGCAAAUGAUGAAAUGGAUGGUCAAUCUGGAAUCCUAUAAGUCUAGGCAAGGAUUUUUCUAAAAAGAAGAAUAUUUUUUUAAACAUUAAAACAACUAAAAACUUAA